ensembl:lincRNA
GGGACUAAAAGGCUUUUGCAUCCCUCCCGUUUCCAUGGGCUGAGCUGUAUCUGCUCUGGCCAUAGCAAUGGCAGAGUUGAGGGCAGCUGGAAUCUAGCCCAGUUUUUACCAACAAUUCAUUGUGUGACCUUGGGCAUCCUUUCCAGGCCUCCUUUCCUUCAUCUGUAAAGUGAGGGGUUUAGACUAGAUCAUCUCUCAAGUCUAGCUGUAACAUCUAAAUGACGGUGAAACCGUUUACCUCAGAUUGGGACUCAAACCCAUAUGGCUGGGACUUGAACUCAGCCAAAACCCUGCUUGGGGCUUGAAGCCAUGUGGCUGGGACUUGAACCGAGCCAAAACCCACAGUACCUGGUUUCAGGACCUAUUGAAGCUCAGGUUCUAGAUGUCUCAUCACAGAAAGAAUUCAGUGAGAGACAAAGUGAUAGGUAAGUGGAUUUAACUCAGAUGCAGAGAGACUCACACUCCACAGAGUGUGGGCCAUUGCAGAGCGUGAAUGCAGCCGUGAAAGUUGGUAUGGUUAGUUUUCAUAGGCUGGGUAAUUUCAUAUGCUAAUAAGUGGGAGGAUUUUCCAACCAUUUUGGGGAAGGGGUGGAGAUUUCCAGGAGCUGGGCCGCCGCCCACUCCUGGGUCUUGUAGCAGCGCUGCGGAGCUGUCGUGUCUUGUUGAGGGAGGGUUAAGGUCUAGUCUUGCCUGCCAUCUUGGUCCCAUUUGAUUCUAAUUGGUUUUCGUUGUGUCCUCGGGCCAUAUCAUUCUUUCUAAAGUUGUGCCCUGCCCCUUUCCCUUCUGUUACAAUGGCAUGCCCUGGAUUUUCAUCCGUUUGUUCAUUCCUGGCACUUAUCACUGUGUUUUGUUUGCUAGCUGUCUGCCUUACUCCACGCCAGUUACACGAGGGAAGGGGUUUUGUUUGCUUUGUUCACUGCCGUAUUUCUGCCACCUCCCAUAGGGCAUGAUGGAGGGUGGGAGCUUGCAUUUGACUGAGUCAUGUCAGGAAACCGAAGGCUGCAGGACCCCUUGGAGCAGCCACCCCUCGGAGACAAGACAGACUGGAGCUGGAAGUGGCUGGCUCGGGAGCAGCCGCAGUGACCCCUGCUUGAGAGGACCAAGGCCUGACAUGAUACCUCACACUUCUAUGGCCUUGUCUGUGCCAGGCAUUGCUCUUCUCUUUGCAAAGAGGAAUUCACUUGAUCAUCGCGACAAUCCUAUGAAGCAGGUUCCGUUAUCCCCACUUCUCAGGCCAGGCAAGUGAGGCCCAGAGGGGUGAAGUAACAUUCUCAAGUUACCAUAUGGAAACAGGGGAGCCAGGACUCAGUCUGGUCCCAGAGUCGGUGCUGAACAGAAUGGGCCUGGCUGUCAGGAUGGUGAACUGGGAUGGACUGAAAGGAUGUCAAGGAAGAAGAACCAGGCUGACUGUAAAGCUUUAGAGGGUUGUGGGAGUAAGGGAGAGAGAAAUCAAAGAUGAGGGUGAGGGAGUCACACAGAGUCCCCCGCCCAAAAGUCAUACGUACCUGGAACCUGGAAAUGUGACCUUAUUUAGAAAUAGGGUCUUUGCAGAUAUAAUGAAGUUAAAACGAGGUCACACUAGAACAGUGUGGGCCCUAGUUCCAAAGACUGGUAUCCUUAUAAAAAGGAAAUAUGGGCCCAGGUAUAGAGAGACCUACAGGGAAAGCCAUGUGAUGAUGGAAGGAGAAACUGGUGUAAUCAGUCUACAAGGAUUGGCGGCAACCAUCAGAAGCUAGAAGAAUCAAGCUGCCCCCCUCGAAAAACCUUCAGAGCACGGCCCCACUGACACCUUGAUUUCGGACGUCUAGCCCCCCAGAUCAUGAGAGGAUAAACGUCUGUUGCUCUAAGUCACCUAGUUUGUGGUAAUUUAUCUCAGCAGCCUUAGGAAACAAAUAAUCUCUCCCACUUCAAAGGAACUGAGAGGAGGACGCUAACGUUUCUAACAUGGUCUGGUAAUACUCAGCAUGGAAAGCAAAGGCAGGCAUGACCCUCUAGGUGAGCCUUAAAAGAAGAAUGUUGCACUGGUCUGGAAACGAGAUUCUGACCGUGUAACCGUGACAGAUUCUGAUGAGAAGGAGAAGGGGAGGAGCCUGAGAGACGAGGUGCAUCAUCGCAGAGCUGGCAGAUGAGCUCAGACUGAGAAGGACACGUUCAAAGCUGGAGGAAGGGCACAGAACCAAGGGCAAGAAUAAAGGCGCGUCUGAGCUGGCAAGAAUAGAACCCGUCCCGCUGCACCCCGCCUGGGGCUGAGGCUUGCAGAAAGGGCCAAGGGCAAGACAGUGUUUCAGAAGAUUGGAGAGGGGAGAGGGAAAGAAGGGAGCUUUAAAAGUUUGGCUAGAAUCAGGAAAACCUGCUUGGGGUGAGGGCUAGUUUAGCUUUCAUGGAUGACAGAUACACCCGGAUGCUAUUUGUCAUUGAUCUUCUCUGUAAGGAGAAAAGAAUAAGAAGCAUGGCUUUUUUUUUUUUUUAAUGAAAAGAAUAGCACAGAUAUUAGUGAGAGAAAAUUGG